ACUUUAUUUAUAGAUAACUCUUAGAAACAAAUCUUUCAGAGUGCUUCACAAGCAAUAAAGAAACACAGUUACACAAAGUGAAAGUAAAGGCAAAAACUUAAAAACACUAAAAAGAUCAAGAAUGAAAGUCAAAUAUGAGAAAAAAUAACUGCCUGAUAAUGUGAAUUGCUUUUGUUUUGGCAGAUAACACCCGAUGCUCUCCUGAUGGUUCUGUUCUUCUUUGGAAACUUGUCCUUUCUGGUGGCUUUACUUGUUGGAAUUGGGAGGUCAUAAGAAGAACCACAAUGAAGCCAAACCAAC